GGUUCUGUGGCUUAGUUGAUUAAAGCACGGGGCUCUCGAUACGGCGUCAUUGGGUUCGAAUCCCAAUCCGAACUA
rnacentral:tRNA from 1 species